CUCCUAUAAGUCAAUCAACCAUAUCCGCCCAAUCGGUAGGACAGAGAGAGCGAGAGCCAGUUGCAGACGGGAGUUCACCCUCGCUGAUGAACGUCUCUAGUGGCAGCCGAAACCAACGGCGGUGAUCCGUCGGGAAAACGCCGCGAUCCCGAUCACACGCCCAUCGAUCCGCCCCCUCCCCUACCGAUCCCCGCCUCUCUUCUCUCCGUCCCUUUUCUCCCUCCUAUUUUAACCCUUCCAGGGUUCCAUGGCGGAGUCCGGGGCUCCGGGAACGCCGGAAAGCGGGCACUCCGGCGACCACGGCGGGCCGUCGGGCGGAGCGAAGGAGCAGGAUCGGUUCCUCCCGAUCGCGAAUAUUGGGAGGAUCAUGAGGAAGGCGAUACCGGAGAAUGGCAAGAUCGCUAAGGACGCCAAGGAGUCCGUCCAGGAGUGCGUCUCCGAGUUCAUCAGCUUCGUCACUAGCGAGGCGAGUGAUAAGUGUCAGAGGGAGAAGAGGAAGACGAUCAAUGGGGAUGAUCUGCUAUGGGCGAUGGGGACGCUGGGCUUCGAGGAUUACGUGGAGCCACUCAAACUCUACCUGCAGCUCUAUAGAGAGAUGGAGGUUGAUUGAAUUUUACUUUCCUUGUUCGUAAAUAAUAAAGGGGGAUAGCAAGGGUUCCCGUUCUGCAGAUCAAUCUGGAAAGAAAGAUGGUGCAAUUAACGGGGAUCUGGGGGCUUCGUACAGUGGUAUGUAGCAUUGGAUACGCUGGAUUCAAGGAAAGGAUGGUUCAUUGUGCUGUUUAGACAUGGUUCCAUCGUUAAGAUAGCCCAUUGGUUCUAGCUGCUGCUUAUAAUUCUCUCUUUGUUUUCUUUCUUUAUGUUUACCCUGUCAUCUGAAUGGGGAGUGGUCAGUGUCAGGUCGUAGCUGGGGUCGGACGAAUUCCUAUCUCAACUUCCAACCUGAUCUAAACUAUAUUAGUUCCAAAACUUUUUGAUAAGGGUGGGAGGGGUGAGGCGGACUUUUCCUCACCACCGGUCUCUUCUGACCUAGUUUUCUGGAGCAGACUGUUGUUAUAGUCAAUGCAGCUUAGCUUUCACAAUUUGCUGGAAGAAUCUGAGGCCACAGCUUGUGUUGAAUGAUAAAUGCUAUUGCAUUAUGUGUCCAGGAACAAUUUGGACUUUCUAGAAUGUUGUUAAAAUUCAGCAAAAUGUCUGCCAUUGAUGACAUUUUAAACAGAUUUUUUGGUUUAGUGCCUAGUUUCUACGCAUUCUAGCAUGGAGGAUAAAAAAAUCAGAACGUUGAUUGAAGUUUGCUGUAAUCUAUGCUAUUGU